rfam:Stegodyphus mimosarum contig121957, whole genome shotgun sequence.
GUCUUCAUGGUGUAAUGGUGAGCACACUCGGCGCAUAUUCGAGAGGUCCGAGGUUCGAGUCCCGGCUAGGGCA